rnacentral:lncRNA from 1 species
UGUGUCUUCAUAAAUUCAAAGAGUUAGCCUCUGAGUUCAUCUUUCAUUUCCCUGGAAACUGGAGCAUUGUGGAUGAGUACUUGGCUCUGACCCAGAGCUGAGUCAUAAGCAGAUCCAGCAUCACUGAGAGAGCCCAAGAUCUCUCCUGAAGUCAGCAGCAGCACAAACUUAGUUCUGUGCAUAUUCUUCCCAAGUCACUUCUGACAGGAUUGUUCCCAUGUAGCCCAGGCACCUAAGUGAUAUGUCUAAAUGAGAGCCUUCUUUACCUCUCUGUAUCUUGAAGUGAGUGCUAAAAGAAAAAAAAGCCAGAAGAGGAGGGAUAUCGUGCCUAUGUGUUUCAAACUGUGGGCUCCUGAUUUCACCUGUGUGCUGCCUUCAUGCAGAGACGAAAGGCAGAUUUACAAAUGAUGAAAUGUAGAUAUGAAUCCCUUUGUGACAGCAGGGCACUUGCUUAAGGACUAGGAAAGGCAACUGGGAGACUGAGUUUCUGGAUAUACAGUGGCACUCCACGCUGCUACUCCUUUGUGCAGUGCAUUGUGCUCCCUCAGUGAAACAGAGAAACCUCUCUCCUAACACAGGCACUUUAGCAGGGCACAAACAGAAGACCAGACCAGUCCUGUUUGUUUGUUUAUUAUCUACAUAGUUUUGGAGCAAAUUUGUUAUGGGAUGUCUGAAGUUCCUUAGAGAAUCUCAAGUUAUUUAUGGGCCAUGCUUCCAGCCGCAAGCCUACAAUUCUUGAAUAAGAAGCUUAUGCACUUCACCCUACCCCAUCUACUUGGAGCUGUUAUGAAAUCUGAUCUACUUCUUGAUUCUUAUGUGUCUAUCACAGAAAACAUUACCCACAUUGGAAAUCAGAGAAGAAACUAUAGGGAAGAGGAGAUUUUGAGAAAUGUUUUGGAUGUGCAGACAGGAAAUUUUAAAAGUAAGUGAUAAUCCUUUGGCUUUAAUAUCAU